GGAGAUGUAGCUCAGUGGUAGAGCACUUGUCUAGAAAGUGCAAGUUCCCGAGUUCCAUCCCCA
rnacentral:tRNA from 1 species